GACCUCCUGGUCUUACCACAGGCUGUGUUCUUACACUGACUGUAUAAAAAGAGGAGGCAAAGUAAACCUGCCCUAUGUACACCCCAGCCCAGGCCCCAUGCCUGGUCUGUAUUAUGAAUGGGGGAAUAUGG
ensembl:snoRNA